UACAGAGGGUGCAAGCGUUGUUCGGAAUUAUUGGGCGCAAAGCGCGUGUAGGCGGCUUUGCAAGUCGGGUGUGAAAUCCCUCAGCUCAACUGAGGAAGUGCGCCCGAAACUGCAGAGCUUGAGUACCGGAGAGGAUGGUGGAAUUCCCCAAGUAGAGGUGAAAUUCGUAGAUAUGGGGAGGAACACCGGUGGCGAAGGCGACCAUCUGGACGGAUACUGACGCUGAGACGCGAAAGCGUGGGGAGCAAACAGG
rnacentral:rRNA from 1 species